CUUGACUGUUGAGUUAUUGUUCCCCUUUUUCUUUUGUUGUGUAUUUGCCUCAGAUUCUACAGAAUCAGUAGUUCUGAAGUUAAAAAUGCCGACUGAUUAUUUCCUACUUUAGUAGAUAAAAAUAAAAAUAAUUAUCACAAUACAGUAGUAUUCCGAAAUAACGAAUAUUCGUUUUAACGAAAACCGAAAGUUGAAAAAAAUAAAAUAGUAGUGAAAACAGAAUACAAAACAGGCCUUGAAAAAAAUGCAAAAGAAGAAAUUAUUAUAUCAAUAUUUCUUUAUGUUUUUUAUGUUUUUCCUUUUCACCUAAGUGUAAAAGCAGGGUAAUUUUGAUCAAGAGUAUGAUCUUGAUUAUUCGUCAUUCCUAAGGCAAAAUGAGAAUACUUUGGUAAUGAGGGAUAUAGUGAAAUUGUUGAGUUCGGCUUUUCCAACUUCAGUGAUUUGGUUGGUUCAUACAGAAAAUUUUCGAACAAUUUAUCUAGUGGGCAUCUGAAAGAAGCCAUCAAAUAUAAUCUUCGUAUUCCAACAAAGCAAACGACGAUUAAUAAAUUUUUUAAAUAUAAAAUAAGCGCUUUAAAUUGUAACAAAUAAUUAAUAAACAAUAUAUUAAUCUGCAAUUUUCGGUUACUCGAAUUAACGAAAAUUUCGAUAUUACGAACUGGCCUGACAAUUAAUGUGUUCAUUAUUUCGGAAAACUGCUGUAUAUAUAACCAACACAUCCUUUAUUUGAUAACUGUUUUAAGUGAUGAGAAAUCAGAUUAAUGAGAACAAAUUGAUUUCUAUGCAAAAUUGUUUAAAUAAAAAAUGAUGAAUAUUCUCUAGUCUA